CCUUUAAUAGCUCAGUUGGUAGAGCGGUGGACUGUAGUUCCAUAGGCCGUUGGUUCAAAUCCGGCUCAAAGGA